rnacentral:rRNA from 2 species
UAGUACGGCGAGUGACCGGGAAGAGCUCAAAUUUGUAAUCUGGCGUCCUUCGGGCGUCCGAGUUGUAAUCUAAAGAGGUGUUUUCCGCGCCGGACCAUGUUUAAGUCUCCUGGAACGGAGUAUCAAAGAGGGUGACAAUCCCGUACUUGACAUGACGACCGGUGCUAUGUGAUACAUCCUCAACGAGUCGAGUUGUUUGGGAAUGCAGCUCUAAACGGGUGGUAAAUUCCAUCUAAGGCUAAAUAUUGGCGAGAGACCGAUAGCGAACAAGUACCGUGAGGGAAAGAUGAAAAGCACUUUGGAAAGAGAGUUAAACAGCACGUGAAAUUGUUAAAAGGGAAACGAUUGAAGUCAGUCGUGCACUUGGUAUUCAGCUGUCUCUGACAGUGUAUUUGCCUUGUGCGGGUCAACAUCAGUUCUGAUCGACGGAAAAGGGCUGGAAGAAGGUGGCACCCUCGGGUGUGUUAUAGCUUCCUGUCGUAUACGUCGGUUGGGACUGAGGAAUGCAGCUUGCCGCAAGGCCGGGGUUCGCCCACGUUCAAGCUUAGGAUGUUGACAUAAUGGCUUUAAACGACAAGUC